GUAGGGGGCGGCGCGUUUACAUGCAGUCGAACGAGAACCCCGGUGCUUGCAUUGGGGGGAAAGUGGCGAACGGGUGAGUAACACGUGGAUAAUCUACCUCCGGGUUGGGGAUAACAGUCCGAAAGGAUUGCUAAUACCGAAUAAGAUGGUGGCUGCAUAAGCAGCAGCCAUUAAAGGCGGGGACCGCAAGGCCUGCCCCCUGGAGUUGAGUCCGCGGCCCAUUAGCUUGUUGGCGGGGUAAUGGCCCACCAAGGCUUCGAUGGGUAGCCGGCCUGAGAGGGUGUCCGGCCACAUUGGGACUGAGAUACGGCCCAGACUCCUACGGGAGGCAGCAGUUAAGAAUCUUGCGCAAUGGGCGAAAGCCUGACGCAGCGACGCCGCGUGGACGAUGAAGGCCUUCGGGUUGUAAAGUCCGUUAAGCAGGGAAGAAUAAGCAGAAGAUAACAUCUUCUGUGAUGACGGUACCUGUCUAAAGCCCCGGCUAACUACGUGCCAGCAGCCGCGGUAAUACGUAUGGGGCUAGCGUUGUUCGGAAUUAUUGGGCAUAAAGGGCGUCUAGGCGGGAGAUUAAGUUAGGUGUGAAAGCCAGGGGCUCAACCCCUGAAUUGCACCUAAAACUGGUCUUCUUGAGUUCGGGAGAGGAGAGCGGAAUUCCCGGUGUAGCGGUGAAAUGCGUAGAUAUCGGGAAGAACACCUGUGGCGAAGGCGGCUCUCUGGCCUAGAACUGACGCUGAAGCGCGAAAGCGUGGGGAGCGAACGGGAUUAGAUACCCCGGUAGUCCACGCUGUAAACGUUGUGUACUAGGUGUUAGCGGCUUGUCCGUUAGUGCCGACGCAAAUGCAUUAAGUACACCGCCUGGGGAGUACGCUCGCAAGGGUGAAACUCAAAGAAAUUGACGGGGGCCCGCACAAGCGGUGGAGCAUGUGGUUCAAUUCGACGAUACGCGAAAAACCUUACCUGGGCUUGAACUGUGCCUGACAGGUGUAGAGAUACACUUUCCUUCGGGCAGGUACAGAGGUGCUGCAUGGCUGUCGUCAGCCUCGUGUCGUGAGAUGUGGGUUAAGUCCCGCAACGGAGCGGCAACCCUUACCCCUUGUGCUACAGGUCAGCUGAGCACCUCUAGGGGACUGCGGUGAUAACCGGAGGAAGGUGGGGGAUGACGUCAGUCAUCACGGCCCUAUGUUCAGGCUACCACGUGCUACAUUGUGUACAUGAGCUGCAAUACGGCAGGUGGAGCCAAAUCCUCAAAAAACCGGGCUCUCAACUC
rnacentral:rRNA from 1 species